AUUGAACGCUGGCGGCAGGCCUAACACAUGCAAGUCGAGCGCGCGGCGGACGGGUGAGUAAUGUCUGGGAAACUGCCUGAUGGAGGGGGAUAAAUACUGGAAACGGUAGCUAAUACCGCAUACCAUCAGUAGUGCCCAGAUGGGAUUGGCUAGUAGGUGGGGUAAGGGCUCACCUAGGCGACGAUCCCUCGCUGGUCUGAGAGGAUGACCAGCCACACUGGAACUGAGACACGGUCCAGACUCCUACGGGAGGCAGCAGUGGGGAAUAUUGCACAAUGGGCGCAAGCCUGAUGCAGCCAUGCCGCGUGUAUGAAGAAGGCCUUCGGGUUGUAAAGCACUUUCAGCGGGGAGGCGUUACUCGCACAAGAAGCACCGGCUAACUCCGUGCCAGCAGCCGCGGUAAUUC
rnacentral:rRNA from 1 species